rnacentral:rRNA from 1 species
UACGGAGGGUGCAAGCGUUUAUCCGGAUUCACUGGGUUUAAAGGGAGCGUAGGUGGGCUGGUAAGUCAGUGGUGAAAUCGUCCGGGCCUUAACUCGGAACUGCCGUUGAUACUAUCAGUCUUGAAUAUUGUGGAGGUAAGCGGAAUAUGUCAUGUAGCGGUGAAAUGCUUAGAUAUGACAUAGAACACCGGAUAGCGAAGGC